UGUGAUUAUGUGGAGCGUGAGGAGUUAAUCACCCUCAUCUUUGCAUAUUCGUGCACUUUGGGUGUACUUGCUCGUGUGGUAGGUUAACAUCAAUUUUGAUCAUCAUAAAAUGGUUGGAGGAAUGUAGCUUCGAUCUUGUAUUGAAGUGUUAUAGCCUUCGGCAGAUGUGAUGAUUGGGAUUGAGGAUUGCAACGGAUACCCUUCGGGGCUACCUGUCUGAUCUCUGAAAGUUGCUCUGGUGCCGAAAGCUUGCUUACGGUAUCAAAGUUGGCGUUCAACAGGUUAGAACGGGAUAAAUUCGUUAAGGAUGUUGACGUA
rnacentral:rRNA from 1 species